AACUCCUGGCCUCAAGCAAUCCUCCUACUUGGCCUCCCAAAAUGUUGGGAAUACAGGCAUGAGUCACUGCAUCUGGACUCCCUAUAAAUUUCUUUGGCCAGAAUUGGGUCACACACUCACUCCUGAACUGGAAAGGGAAAUGAAGUGACUAUGCAGGUCCUCUGGGGUGAAAACCAUGCUAGAGUGGAGGCUGCAAUGCCCACCACACGCAUCAGUGGCCAGCCUAUGGGUAGGUUGCGAUUAAGACAGGUGCCCUCUGCUGGUGCAUACAGGGAUUAUCCCCAGCCCCAAACCCACUGAGGCCAAAGGCAGAGAGCUUUGACCUGGCAUGGCAGGCGCCAGGACUGACACAUCUGUGCUCUCCUCAGGCGACAAUUUCUGUGGCCCUCAAGCUAUGCCUGGCCUCAGACUGAAGCAUCAGCUUCCAAAAUGAUGCAUUGUUCUCCCUGACUCCCACACGCUCUGGCUCACAGAGGAGCCAGCACCCCACCCCGGCGUUGGCCCCUGAAUCAGGGAAGGGAGACUCUGCCUGAGUCUGCUUUUGAUGGGGCUUUGCCAGCCCCGCAGGGCUCAUUUUCUCUGUCUCCUGCUAAAUUCCCUGGCUGCUCCUCCGCUGUCAGGUUGCCAAGCCCCGAGUGUCUCCUGGCUCCGUCUGCAGCAGGAAAUGGGCCUGACAAUUGCUCUUCCAGAGCCAGUGAUUUUUCAAUAUGUAGUUGCAUGGAUCCCACCCAUGCUUCAUCUCCAAAACCCCUGCUUGUGUUCAGCUCUGAUUUACUAAGCACGUACUACAGGCCUGGCUCUGUACUCAGCACUGCAGGUGUGGGGAGCAGUCAGGGCACAGAGGAGGCAUCUGAUGUGUUCUCCGCUUUCAGCCUCAUACUCCAGCCAUAGUUGACGGCCACACACUUGGAAGUGAGCUUCCUAGCCAAGGUGGCCCUGGCGGACUACAGGGCACACAAGUGGUCCAGAUUAAAAAACAAUACCGUGUGGGUUCAGAGAAGGGCAAGGUUGACACAGGCAGUACAUGUGCUGAUUAUUCUGUCUGCCUCCUACUCACCCCUGUGUCUACUCUUCCCUGCCAUGUGCCCUGGAUGCAAUGGCUGCAGGCUGCAGCAACAGGCCCUUUGCCCCAGCUUCCAGUGGACUUGCUGGUGGAGCGGCAGGCAGGAAGGCUCAGAGCAGAGGAAAAGUGAGGCCGGGAUUUAUUUUCCCUGCUUCCUCCCUGUUUUGCUGUGAUUCUGGCAUUGGCAGGUUCCUCCAGAGCUACAGCUCUGACAGGACAAGGGGAGCUGAUGGCUUCCUGCUAUUGCUGGUCCCUGUUUCCCUAUUGGGUUCCCUGAGCCUCCCCACUCUGGAAGCAGCCCCUUUUUUCUUCAGAGUUCUCGAGGCUGUUUGGAUGCUGACUGGCAGACCAUGUUUAGGAAGUGCUUCCUGCAAGAGCAGCACCUGCAUCUGGGCUCCUGAAAUGAGCUGAAGCUGGAUAAGCAGAGAAGAGGAAAAUGGGCUUUCUAGGGGCAGCACAGCCCCUUCAAUGUUCACGAAGAGAUGAAGUGAGCGCUGGAAGACACUGCCUAGGCAGGGAGGGAAGGUGGAAAACAAGCGAAGGCUCCCCGUGGAAGCCCUUGACUGCCAGGCCAGGGAACUUGGCCUUUGUCCCAUAGGCUACAUGGAGCUGCUGGAAGCAAAAGUUUUGACUUUGUUAUUAAUGGCUUUGUUUUGGUUUUUAUUUCUACCUUUUCCUUGUUAUUGAUUUUAUUAUCAUCAUUAAUAACAACUACUAUGUAUUUAAUCCUUACUGUUAGGGCUUGAUUGGGCCCCCUUUCAUUAGUAUGUUGAAGUCCUAACCCCCAGUCCCUCACGAGUGUGACCUUAACUGGAGACAGGGUCGUUAAAGAGUUAAAAUGAGGAUGGGCCCUAAUCCACUAUGACUGGUGUCCUUACAAGAAGGGGAAAUUUGGACAUGGAGACACACAUAGAGGGAAGAUGAUGCAAAGGGAGAGAAAGACGGCCACAUCCACAAGCCAAGGAGAGAGGCCUGGAACAGAUCCUGCCCUCACAGCCCUCAGAAGGAAACAACCCCCCAGCAGCUUGAUUUUGGACUCCCAGCCUCCAGAACCAUGAGACAACAAGACCAGACCAGGUUCACAGAGGUUUCCAGAGCGCAGUGACAGUGCCCACUCCUGGAAGAACACAAACCUGGGGAGAGAAUCCACCAAACUGUUUUAAUUUCAGAGACAGAUACUCAGCUACAAUGGAGGAUGAAAGCCAGACCCAUACUCAACUGGGCCUAGGAUUUCACUGAAACCAAGAGGAACCUGCAUCCAAACUGGAUUCUAGAAGAAAAAGAGAAGCUCAGUGAGGGCAGAGGCUGCAUCCAUCUUGUGUUCUCCUGUGUUGACAGCAUCCGGGACAUAGUAGGGGCUUAAUAAUUGUUUACUAAACAAAUGAAGGAAAGAAGUGCUCUUGUUGGUUCUCUGGUAAGUGGUGAUGAGAGAUGUCAUGGGAGGUACAGAAGUCAGGAUGUUCAAGGAGGGCCUAGUAGCAUUGUCAAGUGUUUGCCAGAUGGAAGAGGCAUUGCAGGUGUGUGAGCAGGGAUGUGAUUCUGAGGGUGAUGAGGGGAAGGGUGGGGAUACAUGUAGGCCACCUGGGGAGGUAAAAGGGGGCAACUGUUGUCCCUUUUUUGGGGGGAUGGAGGUAAAAGGGGGAAGCCAUUGUCCCUUUUUUGGGGGAUGGCCCCUCUCCUCGAUGGAUGGGACAAUGAGGUAAACUAUUAAAGGUCCAUGUGGACACAUCUACCCCUGGGGCACACCCAUCCAGGCUAAACAAAAUCAGCACAAGCUGAACAAUUAGAACUCAGAGAGUUACCUGUGGGGCUUAACAAGGACAGCAAGGACACUCAGGUGACCUCAGAUGAUUCUGAAACCUGGGAAAAAGACUCCACAAGCCCAGGCCAUAUGAUCAUGAGAUGCAUCUCCUGACUGCCUCUGACUGUUCACAAAAAGCUGGCCAAGGACAUUCCAGCUAUGCUAGGCCACCAGGCCAAGUUCCCAGGGACAGCAAUCCACCGCCGCUCUCCCCCCAUCACACCCAAGGGAAGCACAUAAAGUAGGCCUGCAUCCAUGGCCUGGCAGACACCUGCCCCUGGCCCUCUGGGACAGUGCACUGUGUCAGCUGCCAGCAAAACAACAAGCACCUUUGCAAUGGGCCAGUGGGCAGGGCUGCCAUUGGCAGAGUCCUGGUGAUUUAUGACACCCAGGCUCAGUGCACCAUCCGGGAGUUUCCAGGUAGAAUCUCCAGCUUCACCGGGCAAGGGUUCUCCCUUCCAGUGAUUUAUGGAGCCAGAGUGAGCCAGUUGUUUUUUUCCCUUCCCCUCCAUCUCCCUCCUUCUCCAGGACAAUUGGGUUUCACAUUGCUGUGGGCACUCUGGUCUGCAAUGACAAGACAAAGAGGUUCCACUUGUCCCUCUGCCCCCUGCACCUGCUGUCAGGGAUGAUGGUUAUCGGUCAGCAGCCACCUCCAUUUCACUGGCACUUUUAGCUCUUUAUGUGGUGCCUGGGUCACAGCACCAGCCGCAGGGCUCUCUCGAUGGCUUUGCUGGCUGCCCAGAUAUACUGCUCAUCUAGAAUAGACCUGACUCCAAACUACAAGGUCAAACGUUCUUCUCCUGACCUACCUUCCCUCCUUCCUU